GAUCAUGAGUUCAAAGCCAACCUCAGCAAAAGCAAGAUUCACUAAGCAACUCAGUGAGACCCUGUCUCUAAAUAAAAUACAAAAUAAGGGUGGGGAUGUGGCUCAAUAGUUGAGUGCCCCCGAGUUCAAUCCCCACUACUCAAAAAAUAAAAUAAGCGGAUUGACUACAAUCAAUUGGGAAACAAGAAUUUAGAAUAUGUAAUGGUUGGAUUUUAUCAGAAAAGAAAGCUCUCUACAUAGACAGUUUUCUGGCAUGUAGAGUUUGUUUUCAUAUGAAAUAGUAAAAUACAUAUAGUAUAUUAAGGAAGGUUUUUUAUUUGGGGUGGGGGUAGUGGUGGUGAAUGAAGAGCCUAAGCAAUAAAGUCCAGUCUUUAUUCAAGCAGAACACUUUCAUUUUGUUUGAUUUUUGUUUACCAAUGUUCUUAUGAAAACUGCUGUUAACGAGUACUUCAGCCAAGAUAGUUUGCCUCUUUUUUGUGGCUUUCCUCUUGUGUUAUACAUCAGCACUGUGGUUAUUACACCAGCUACCAGAACAUCUCACAUGAUUUUAAUGUAUAAGCACUAUCAGUCCACACCUUGCAAUGUCUCAUGUUUCCCUAAGAAUUUUAAACAAGAAGUCACAGAAUUUUGGAGCAUGCAUUUCUGAGUUGCUUGUGUUUAAAUGUUUGAUCUUAUUCUUUGGUUUGGUUUGACUAGGGUUGAAAUGAUCAGAAGAAGUUGCAUAUUUGUAUCCUUAAAGGUAAUUCUUUAACCUGUAGCUCAAGCAAGGAUCAGAUCAUUUUUCCCAGAUAAAUUUUGUUGCUCAUAUCUGUCCCUAGCUGUCAAACAGAACUCAACAUAUUCCCUAGUGACAAUCAGUGGACCAAAGUAUCUGAAAAGUCCUUUCUCCAGAGCUCUAGCUGCAUAGAACUCGGCUUACAGAGGUGAAUCUUUCCUUUGGUAAACCAGUCCUUUACUAUUCUGUAAGGUUAGUUUGG
rnacentral:lncRNA from 1 species